CAAUCAGCCCUGUAUUUCCCCCCUUUUAGAGACUGACAAAUCAAUCUAAUCUGCUUUAGCGACCACUUUUGUUGCUUUUAUAAGCUCUUUGAGUGUAGCGAUCAUGUCUAACUUAUACUUCCAUAUUCUCCACCACCAGCUUAUAGUAUGCACUUCACUUGAAUGCUGAUUGAGUCAGCUAUAUGGCUUGAACCCUUUCUUACAAGGAAAAGAUGAGGUGUCAAGGGAAAUCAAGCCUUUCCUUUCUGAAACCUAAACCCCCCAAACUGUCACUUUUCAACUAUAUUAAAAAGCCCACAAAAGAGCAGAAAGAAAAAAAAUGCUCCUGAACAGGGAAAGAUGGAUAAAAUUCUCUUACUCGGGGAGAAAAGGAAACGGUGAGUCUGAAUAGGAUCUCUGAGCACUUUG
rnacentral:lncRNA from 1 species